CCUACGGGUGGCAGCAGUGGGGAAUAUUGGACAAUGGGGGGAACCCUGAUCCAGCCAUGCCGCGUGUGUGAAGAAGGCCCUCGGGUUGUAAAGCACUUUCAGUGAGGAAGAACGCCUGGUGGUGAAUACCCAUCAGGAAAGACAUCACUCACAGAAGAAGCACCGGCUAUCUCCGUGCCAGCAGCCGCGGUAAUACGGAGGGUGCGAGCGUUAAUCGGAAUUACUGGGCGUAAAGCGCGCGUAGGUGGCUUGAUAAGCCGGUUGUGAAAGCCCCGGGCUCAACCUGGGAACGGCAUCCGGAACUGUCAAGCUAGAGUGCAGGAGAGGAAGGUAGAAUUCCCGGUGUAGCGGUGAAAUGCGUAGAGAUCGGGAGGAAUACCAGUGGCGAAGGCGGCCUUCUGGACUGACACUGACACUGAGGUGCGAAAGCGUGGGUAGCAAACAGGAUUAGAUACCCUAGUAGUC
rnacentral:rRNA from 1 species